rnacentral:lncRNA from 1 species
UGUAUGAUUGAGUUCUUCUAUCAUGAGUCCCACUGAAUUUGGGUUAAGGUGAACUCGUCAAACCCAACAUCAGUCAUAUGAAUCAAUCGAUCGAUCCAAGUCUAAUAUGAAACCUUAAUGAAAAACUCUUUUUCAUUAUUUCACUCUGCCAUGGCCAUGGGCUUAAGGACUUAAUCUUUCGAUCAUCAUAGGACUACUCUUCUUAUCUACCGAGGUUGGUAAAUCCCUUCUUGGUGCAAUCUGGUUUCUACAAUGAAUACACUACAGCCAACAUACACCUUAGGGUUCUGAUGUUAGAUGUGUGCCCUAGAUGCC